GAUCCUGGCUCGGGACGAACGCUGGCGGCGCGCCUAACACAUGCAAGUCGAACGAGCGAGAGAGAGCUUGCUUUUUCGAGCGAGUGGCGAACGGGUGAGUAACGCGUGAGGAACCUGCCUCAAAGAGGGGGACAACAGUUGGAAACGACUGCUAAUACCGCAUAAGCCCACGGGUCGGCAUCGACCAGAGGGAAAAGGAGCAAUCCGCUUUGAGAUGGCCUCGCGUCCGAUUAGCUAGUUGGUGAGG
rnacentral:rRNA from 1 species